CAAAUAAGUAGAUUCUAGUUCUAGAUCUACAAGAAGAACGCAGAGCAUCAAAGUCUCUUCUCUGUGAAUAUCUUCAUGUACUUUGUCAUUCAGAAAUCAAUGUUGAAGAUAACAAUUAGAAACUCUUCUAAAAUAUCGAGGGCAAGAAGAUGUAAAGGAAAAAUUUUGGUGUUCCGAUUAAAAGAUUAGAUUGCUUAUGUCUUCUAAGUGUUUUUUCAAAAAUACUCAGUUACAGAGCUGAGUGUGCCAUGUGAUCCUUCCAACUCCACAUUGAACAGAAAAUGUUUUGUUGGUUUUGUCUUUGUAUGUCCUGUAUUAUAACUUGUAAAUAUGUGCAUGUUGUUUAUGACGUGUGUCUGUUUGUCUCUUAUUGCACUGAAAUCUGCAAGGUGAAUAACUGUCCUAUACCAUUUGCAAAAACUUCCUCCAACUCUUCCUCACUGUUGCCCCUUCUCCUUAGUUGAUAAACUUAGAAAACCAUUUAGAAUUUUUUGAAACCCUGAGAUUGAAUGAAAAAUCAAUCAUGGCUGUCUGAGAUCAUCUCCAUGUCCCUCUAACUUAAACAGCUGAAAGGAAAGCAUGAGAUCUUCCACCUUAUUUUAUAGAGCUGUUCUACAAUACUGGUGUGCUUGCUUGUAUCUAUACUUUGAACUAGGAUUAAAG
rnacentral:lncRNA from 1 species